rnacentral:rRNA from 1 species
GACAGAGGGGGCAAGCGUUGCUCGGAAUUACUGGGCGUAAAGGGCGCGUAGGCGGGAUGGCAAGUCGGUCGUGAAAUCCCUCGGCUCAACCGAGGAACGUCGAUCGAUACUGCUGUUCUUGAGGAUUGCAGAGGAGACUGGAAUUCCCGGUGUAGCGGUGAAAUGCGCAGAUAUCAGGAGGAACACCGAUGGCGAAGGCAGGUCUCUGGGCAUUAACUGACGCUGAGGAGCGAAAGCAUGGGGAGCGAACAGG